GAUGAACGCCGGCGGCGUGCCUAAUACAUGCAAGUCGAGCGAACAGACGAGGAGCUUGCUCCUCUGACGUUAGCGGCGGACGGGUGAGUAACACGUGGAUAACCUACCUAUAAGACUGGGAUAACUUCGGGAAACCGGAGCUAAUACCGGAUAAUAUAUUGAACCGCAUGGUUCAAUAGUGAAAGACGGUUUUGCUGUCACUUAUAGAUGGAUCCGCGCCGCAUUAGCUAGUUGGUAAGGUAACGGCUUACCAAGGCGACGAUGCGUAGCCGACCUGAGAGGGUGAUCGGCCACACUGGAACUGAGACACGGUCCAGACUCCUACGGGAGGCAGCAGUAGGGAAUCUUCCGCAAGGGGCGAAAGCCUGACGGAGCAACGCCGCGUGAGUGAUGAAGGUCUUCGGAUCGUAAAACUCUGUUAUUAGGGAAGAACAAAUGUGUAAGUAACUAUGCACGUCUUGACGGUACCUAAUCAGAAAGCCACGGCUAACUACGUG
rnacentral:rRNA from 1 species